GCGUACCGUAUGUUUCCUCGGCGGGCUUGCCUGCCGGUUGGACAUUAUCAAACCUUUUUGUAGUUGCAAUCAGCGUCAGAAAACAAAUAAUAAUUACAACUUUCAACAACGGAUCUCUUGGUUCUGGCAUCGAUGAAGAACGCAGCGAAAUGCGAAAAGUAGUGUGAAUUGCAGAAUUCAGUGAAUCAUCGAAUCUUUGAACGCACAUUGCGCCCCUUGGUAUUCCAUGGGGCAUGCCUGUUCGAGCGUCAUUUUGUACCCUCAAGCACUGCUUGGUGUUGGGCGUUUGUCCUGCAAAGGACUCGCCUGAAAGCGAUUGGCGGCCAACGUACUGGUGGUAGAGCGCAGCACAAUUUGCGUCUCUCCCCUCUGCGUCGGCGUCCAUGAAGCCUUUUUUCAACGUUUGACCUCGGAUCAGGUAGGGAUACCCGCUGAACUUAAGCAUAUCAAUAGCCGGGAGGAAAAGAUCAUUAUCAGAACGCGGACUUCGGUCCUUGCUGC
rnacentral:rRNA from 1 species